rnacentral:tRNA from 1 species
GGGCCAGUUGCGAACGGAAGCGACGGCUCCCUUGCAAGGAGACGGCUGCGGGUUCGACUCCCGCCUGGUCCA